UUUUCAAAGCAAUGUGUGACAGGUACAGGGCAAAUCCCGUUAAUAAGUAAGAGGAUUUGUGCUUGGCUCUGUCACAUGCCACUUUGAAAA
rnacentral:miRNA from 1 species